rnacentral:snRNA from 1 species
AUCACUUCUCGGCCUUUUGGCUAAGAUCAAGUGUAGUAUCUGUUCUUAUCAGUUUAAUAUAGAGCACAGGCAAGGCCGGGCGUGGUGGCUCACGCCUGUAAUCCUAGCACUCUGGGAGGCCAAGGCGGGCGGAUUGUUUGAGCUCAGGAGUUCAAAACCAGCCUGAGCAAGAGCGAGACCCC